GAUGAACGCUGGCGGCGUGCCUAAUACACGCAAGUCGAGCGAACUGAUUAGAAGCUUGCUUCUAUGACGUUAGCGGCGGACGGGUGAGUAACACGUGGGCAACCUGCCUGUAAGACUGGGAUAACUUCGGGAAACCGAAGCUAAUACCGGAUAGGAUCUUCUCCUUCAUGGGAGAUGAUUGAAAGAUGGUUUCGGCUAUCACUUACAGAUGGGCCCGCGGUGCAUUAGCUAGUUGGUGAGGUAACGGCUCACCAAGGCAACGAUGCAUAGCCGACCUGAGAGGGUGAUCGGCCACACUGGGACUGAGACACGGCCCAGACUCCUACGGGAGGCAGCAGUAGGGAAUCUUCCGCAAUGGACGAAAGUCUGACGGAGCAACGCCGCGUGAGUGAUGAAGGCUUUCGGGUCGUAAAACUCUGUUGUUAGGGAAGAACAAAUACAAGAGUAACUGCUUGUACCUUGACGGUACCUAACCAGAAAGCCACGGCUAACUACGUGCCAGCCGCCGCCGUAA
rnacentral:rRNA from 1 species